UUGUAACCUACGAAACUUGUGAUCGCCGGGAAGAGAUGAACCAAAGACUACUGUCCUUCCUAAUCAGCAAUGUUCGCUUAUCUCGCGCUCUAUAGCACCAUUUCUACUGAGGUCACCAUUUGCCGGGGCCCUGCAAUUACUAGAAGUGGUCAAUAAAACUGUGGCUGGGUGCAGUUGGUUCAUAUCAUUAGAAGUGGGCUCAGGGGUUUCCCCAGGAAUUGAAAUCAGGGGGGGUGUCUAAAUUUUUUUGGGGGGGGCAUUGCGAAUAUAGGAGUCGUUGUGAAUUAAGGGGGUGCCUUCGGAAAAACGAGGCGGGGUCUAGGGAAAUCCCUGAGUGGACUAUCUUUAGGGGUUCUUGAAAAAACAGCAAAUCGGGCCAAAAAUAGGGGUGGGGCAUCUCGGGAUAUUACGGUAAGCUCUCUCCCUGUUCAGCUGUAGAGAGAGGCACAUAAAAUACAUCUACUCACCCAUGUGAAACUGUUCAUUUCCAGCUGAAUUAUGGAACUAGUCUUGGCUAGGUAAAUACAGCUAGAUUGUCUCAUUUCCAGCCCAGCUGGAACCAGUUCAGUAAUCCGGCUGGAAUCGGACUGGGAGCAGAAACUUCAAACAUCGUGCGAAGUCAUAUUUUGUGGCACACGCCGGACACCUUCCUGCAACUCUGGCAGACCGCUCUCUGGAAAAUUGUCCCCCAAAGAAAAUGUGGAAAAUGACACAUUGCUGCCCUGGAGAGAUGUCCCUCCUCGCCACCUGAGCCAAGUCGACAUUUGGCAGCAUGCACAUUCUCCCCACAGGGCCUUUGUUUACACUGAUGGGAUGACAACGCACCGGACUGGUGGCAUGGUCCGGAGAAUGUUCACCCCAAGGGCAGCGAGCCGCCUUGUCUACGAGGCAGCUUGGGCAACUGGCCAUCCCAGGCACAGCCACAGCAAGAGGGCUCUCACCAGUGUCGCUUUUGUCCCUACACCAGCCGUUACCGGCAGAACAUUACCAGCCACGAAAGGAGGCACACGGGGGAGAAACCCUUCAGCUGCCACUUCUGUCCGAAGGCGUUUGGCCAGACCUCUCACCGACUGGUCCACGAAAGAACUCAUACGGGCGAGAAACCUUUCCGGUGCGAGGUCUGCCAGAAGGCGUUUGUACAGAAGUCCGACAUGUUGCGACACAAAAAGAUCCACACCGGGGGCAGAAAGCCGCACCAGUGUGGAACGUGCGGGAAAGCGUUCAUGUUCCGAUACACCCUGUUGGACCACGAGAGGAUUCACAAUGGAGAUCGGCCGUACGUGUGCGAGGUGUGCGGGCAGACAUACACACGGAGUUGCCAUUUGAAGGAUCAUCAGAAGAGUAGGCACAUGUGACUUGUGCCGUGCAACAUCAGCGGAGAUGGUUUGUGGGGAUAAAGUUCUGCCUGGUGCUUCACUGCCAGUCUUUAAUAUUUUUUUCCGCUACCUCCGUGGCUCCAAGGCAAAGCUUCGGCCUACGGAUGCCCAGGUGGUGGGUUCGAGUGCUGGCUGGGGUGCAAGCAAUCUGACGGAGGCUUAUUACGGAGAAGAUUUCGGUUGCACAACACAAGGUACCCAGGUAGUCGAGAUUAAUCCUCCAUUUUCCGCUGGGGCAUGCCAGAUGCCCUUCAUUUUUUUGGCGCAUAAAACCUCAAAAUUUGAAUGUUUCGAUGGACGAAGAGCAUGUUGAUGCGAUCGAGAUUAAAGUAAAAAUAAACGUAGGACAAAGACAACACAACCACAUCUUUCAUGAAAGAUGUGGUUGUAUUGUGUAUGUCCCACAUGUUUAUUCUUUUUUAGAGCACAGCUCGUAGACGCCCGUAUCCAGCUUGAGCAGCGUCGCUGUCGGUGUAGCUGCGUACGUUGCGUUAUGACACGUUUCCCCGCUGAAGUUAGCGGGCAAAUUUUCCUGCUAAAUUCAGCGGGAGACUUUUUCCGCUAAAUUCAGCGAGGAAUUUUUUAUGCUAAAUUUUGCGGGGAAAUGUUGCCACUAAAUUUAGCAAGGAAUUUAGCGGAAAAAAUUCCUCGGUAAAUUUAGCAGGGAAAGUUUCACUAAAUGGCAGAGGAGGGUAGAGGGGGACGAGGGGCAUACCCUCCCCUCCUCCUCCUCAAGAGCUGUGCUCUAAUUCGGCAUUACAGAGAAUUGUAAAUGUCUUUCAUUUUUUUCCACUUGAAUAUUUGCUUGUGUAAAGAAACAUAGCAAUAAGGUUCCUCAGCAUCUUUCCGCUCAGGGUGAUGACAUUGUUGGUAGUACUCUGUGACGACAGGACGCGCUCACUGGAAAAAUGGAAAGAGAUGGGUGGAAACAAAAUGCCGCAGCAGCAGUCGAUGCCAGGAGUUUGUGCCAGGAGACACGCUUUGAGGCACUCUAGAAAACAAAAAUACAAAAAUGCUAUCGGGACAAAAUGGUUAGAUGUCAUCACCCUAAUCAGUGCGUACAUGAAGUCAUCCUAGUAGUAAUAUAAGCAACUUUACAGUCAAGUUUCAUCAUAUAUGAACAGUGUCAUUUGUUGCGAUUGAUCCUCCAAAGAUAGCUGCAGUACCACACACUGUUCUGCUACUGUUUUUUGUUCCCCUGGUACCUCGAAACAUCUAUGGAUUUCUUUCUGUUGACCUUGUAUAAGAGUAAUCCCCACCAAAUGUACUUCGAUUUCGUCAGACCUGGUCGUAGUUUUGUCGCUUCUAAAGUAGCUCAAGAUUGCCGCACAUUAAUUUGCACUAGAGUAGGCUCGCGAUAAUUCAAACUCUGAGAUUUCAUACUUCUGGUUAAUUCAAACAAAUUUCAAAAUUUUGGUUGUCCCACUAAGCUUUUAAUUUAUUCAUAAGCCGCUUAAUUCAAACAAUGUUUUCGUGUAAUUUAUACGUUUUGUUCUCGCGGCCCCUUUGAGUGUGCUUCUUUCCGAGCACGGGUGCACUCCAGAGGGACAACACCGACGGAGCUUGCUUCCGCGGGUGUUGCUUCUCCGCAGUGCACAGGUGCUCGGUGGAGAAGCGCAUUCAACGGAACUCAAGUUGGGCACGGACGAGCUAUGUGAACAGGCACCACGCGAAAAUUUCCAUAGCAAUUUGCGCAGAAGCUGCAACGUGGCGGCAUGGCAAAGGCCCACGUUAGAGCGUCCGCGCAGGUUCCUAUGAAAGCCGCCGCGUGGUGCCAAUUCUCACCGCUCAUGUGUCCCCUGUGUAAUAGUCCACAUCAAACAAUUUCCUGGUCUGAUGAACAAACUUAAUUUUGUUUUGUCAUGUGCCAAGAGUCCACAAAAAAAAAAAAAACACACAUUUUUGAGAGAUAAGUAAACUUAUACACAGUGUCUAGCGUUACGUCCAACGAAACCCAAAAUAAAGAUUAGACUUACGUUUGACGUAAGCUUGCCCCAAGGUUUUGAGUUACGUCCAAUCUAACCCAAUGUGAAAAUUAAAGUUACGUUCAAUCUAACCCAAUGUGAAAAUUAAAGUUACGUCCAACGGAACUUGAAAUAAAAACCAAAGUUACGUCCGACGUAACUUUACCCCAAGAUAACUUUAUUGAAUGUUAUGCUUUACAGCCAAUACAUGAUGCAAAUACAAACAUAUCGUGAUUGGUUAAUUGGUUAAAAUUUCGACAUCACCUGCACCUCCAGGUACAGAUGCCCGUCACAUUAUUUUUUUUUCUUUCUCGUGUUUUUCCUUUUUUAAGACAAUUUUUUUUUCUCCUUUAAGACGAUUUCUUGCGACGCCUUCCAAAAAUCGUGGAUGUUCGGAGCAAUUGUUGAGAGAUAUAAUGGGAGUGUGAUAUGAAUGUGCUGUUCACAGCAGCAGGGUUCCCUGUAGACUUGUUGAACACUGGCACAGUCUUCACGUACCACUCAAGUCGCCACGUGCACUAGCUUUGGCAGUGUUUUCUUCCAGAAUGUCUUAAAUAAAGAGCUGUUUGGAGGGUGCCGCCCGGGUGUGAGAGUGGCGAUAGACCUUCGGCCUUUAGCCGUAUCAACCUAGCUCUCAGCCCGAGCCAGCAAGGGCUACAAGCAGGUGAAAAAAACGCGGCAAGGAUAGCAAGAAGGGUUUUGAUAUCGAAAAAAAUGCAAUAAGGUGGGGAAAGAAGAGAAAGAAAAAAAAAAUGUAUGUGACUGGCAUCAAACCCACACAGCCUCAGCAGCCCCGAUGUGCGAGGAACACACUCCAGCCCUCUCAAAAAAGCUAAAGCACGGAUGAAGUUGAGAUUUUAACCAAUUCAAGAAUGCUGCAUCGGACAUAACACAGUAAUAGUUCACAAUAGUUUCGUAUUUAUGUCAUGUAUCGGCCAUAAAACGAAACAUACGCAUAGGUUGCGUAGGUGACAGAGGACACAACGUUCAACUUUUAUUUCGGGUUCCGUCGGACGUAACUUCACUCUUUAUUGAAAGUUCGGUCGGAAGUAACCUUAAUUUUCAUAUUGGGUUACAUCGGACGGACGUAACUCGAAACCUUGGGGUAAAGUUACAUCGGACGUAACUUUAAUUUUUAUUUCGGGUUUUGUUGCAAGUAACGCUAGACACUGCGAAACUUAUAUGUCAUACAUUUUACAAAUUUCAUGUGUGACUUACCUGCUUAUAAUCUAUGUGGAGGAAAUCAUAAAAUAUCUAUUUUAUCUUGCAUCAUAUUUAGUUGAAUUUCUGGUAACUGAAACAAAAUUUCUGGCCUCCUGGAGUUUGACUUAUUGAGUCUACCGUAUUCCCGAUAUCGCAAAGCAAUGUCUGUUUACACUACAUACUUCACCGACGAUUGUGCAUUGUACGCAUCAGUGUCUUGUGAAGCGGGUUCCACUUGGCUUACGAGUGAUCUAAAACGAGUUGAAAGAUGGUGUAUAAUAAAAUGACCGUGAAUAUUA
rnacentral:lncRNA from 1 species